rnacentral:rRNA from 1 species
AGAGUUUGAUCAUGGCUCAGGAUGAAUGCUGGCGGCGUGUCUAAGGCAUGCAAGUCGAACGAAUGAUUCAGGGUAGCAAUACUCUGGAUCGUUAGUGGCAAACGGGUGCGUAACACAUUGGUAACCUGCCUCGAAGUCGGGCAUAACCAGCCGAAAGGCUGACUAAUUCCACGAUGGUCAUGAGGGGACGCAAGUCAUUCUCAUGUAAAGUCGCAAGACGCUUCGAGAGGGGCCUAUGGCCUAUCAGCUAGUUGGUGAGGUAAUGGCUCACCAAGGCAAUGACGGGUAUGGGGUGUGAGAGCACGACCCCACUCACUGGGACUGAGACACUGCCCAGACACCUACGGGUGGCUGCAGUCGAGAAUAUUCCCCAAUGGCCGAAAGGCUGAGGGAGCGACGCCGCGUGCAGGAAGAAGGGCUUCGGUCCGUAAACUGCUUUUGUCAGGGACGAAUCAUGACGGUACCGAAGAAUAAGAG